UACGGAGGGUGCAAGCGUUAAUCGGAAUUACUGGGCGUAAAGCGUGCGCAGGCGGUUUGUUAAGUCCGCUGUGAAAUCCCCGAGCUCAACUUGGGAAUUGCAGUGGAUACUGGCAGGCUGGAGUACGGUGGAGGAAGGUGGAAUUCCCGGUGUAGCAGUGAAAUGCGUAGAGAUCGGGAGGAAAACCAGUGGCGAAGGCGGCCUUCUGGACCAGUACUGACGCUCAUGCACGAAAGCGUGGGGAGCAAACAGG
rnacentral:rRNA from 1 species